GGCCUUAUGGUCUAGUAGUAUGAUUCCUCGUUUGGGAGCCAAACCGGUAACAUCGAGGAGGUCGCGAGUUCAAUUCUCGCUGAGGCCC